UCUCCCUGCUCUGUGCAGAGAGCCACCAUGCCCUGAUAUGAAGCCCAGACCCACACACUAAAGCAGCACAGAGUCUGAAAACUAUAAAAGCUAAACCCUGAGGCAUUGGCCAGAACCAAACACUGCCCAGAGCCAAACCAAACCAAACACUGCCAUCUCCUGAGGAUGACACACCCCUGGUGCAUGUGGAAUUGCCCUUUUUUUGCAGCUUUGUACAAACCUGCCUGAGAAUCAUGAGGAGAUGUGGAUGGAUAAUGGGCUGAGCAGCUCAAGGUGCCACAGGGUCUUGUCCCAGAGGGAGCAUCCCAGAAAUAGUCUGGGGAAGAGACCUCACCGAGACCUUCCAGAACUUUCUUCCCUGUGAAGAGGCCCUGGCACAGAGAAGCUGUGGCUGCCCCUGGAUCCCUGGAAAUGUCCAAGGCCAGGCUGGAUGGAGCUUGGAGCAACCUGGGACAGUGGAAAGUGUCCUGCCCACAGCAGGGGGGUGAAAUGAGAUGUUUAAAUCCCACCCAAACCAUUCCAUCCUUCUCUAAGUACUUUAAAGCUCACUCAUCUCUAACCUCCCAUGCUUCUUUUCAAGGAAAGAGUUUAAAUAAAAGGUGCCCUGUCAUAUUCAAAGUAAAGGAUUAAAAAAGCAAUUAUGGAAGGCAAGAGCUUGAUUUGGAUGUUUAAGAUGUCUUGUAAAAAUCCCAAGAAUUCUCUAAAUAGAAUUUAAACUGAAAGCAUAUGAAGCCAUGAAUUCUCAGCUCUAUUUUCACUGUUAAUAUUGUAUAACUAAAGCCAGAUCCAGAAAAAAAGGAUUCUUUUAAUGGGAGGAGCAUAAUUUUAGCACAGCUGCCACGGAAACACACAGGGCCAAGCUCUGCCCACAGUUGCCUCUGGAGAUAGCUGGGUUUAAUGCUUUUGCAGGAGCCAUGUAGAGAAAAUCUCUGACAUGCUGUUACUAAUUUCAUUUGUGGAAGAUGAGAUAAAUAUUAAUGAAUAUAAACACAUAUUAUAUGUAGACUCACCAGUUAAAUAACUGUGCUGGCUGAAUUAAUGUGCUUUGUAGUCAGGAACGUUCAGCUGGAAUGAUGCUUUCUGAAAGGCAAUUUCUGCGAGUUUAUAAUUUUAUAAAUGCUACCUGAAAAACCUCCUGUUGAAGUUGGGAGCCUGCAGACAUUUUUUUCCUCCACAUCAAGGGCUGAUGGAAUACUGAGACUGGAAAUAUGUUCUGACCUGUGAGGAGGAACUUUCCUGGAGCUGGGUGCCAACAUCCUGAGGUCCGUGGAGCAGGCAGAGUACUGGAUUUUGGAUGGUAGGAUGGAUCCUAUCCUCUGCUGUGGGAAUGUUCAUCAUUUUAGGUGAAUCUUGAAGGCGUGUGACUGAACACAGCCACCCAGAGAUGGGGAUGGGCCUGGUGUGCUCCCAGGUUAACUGCUGGGCAGGGUAUUGACUUGGAAAUUCUGCACUUGUAAUUCCAUGCAUCACCCAUUGAUUUCUAUUAGCAGCAGCCCUGUAGCUAGAGAUCCAUGUGUCUGCAAACACCAGUGGGAAACCUUGGAGUAAAACGGAUCCCCCAGGUGAGAUCUGAGUGGCAAAACACUGGAGCAGAGGAGAGGAAGAGAUCUGGGAGCGUCCAAAAAAAGCUGAAAAAGGCCUCAGGUACAAAGCUCUCCCUUCCUUCCAGAGGAUCACACGCUUCUAAGCAUGCAGUGUUUUAGAGAAAUAAAACCUGUGGAGCGAGGAAUUGGUGCCCCUUUGGGAAGGAUUCUGGCUGGAUCUAAGCUCCCCCCGUUUUGGGCAGUGCCAGGGACUGCAGGUGGCUCUGCCAGCAGCUUCCUGACACCAUCCGAAGGGGAGGUGGCACUGCUGGAGGCUUUCAGCCCCUCCAACAGCCCUGCCAGCCCUUUGCAUCUGCACCAGGACAGCCCAGAGAGCGGGGAUGAGAGGGGAGGCUGAGCUGCUGCUGUGGGAUGUGCUCAGGCCAGCCCCCUGCCACCCCCCAGUGUCCCUGGGCAGCACUGGCCUUGGGGCUUUAUUAGGAGCCACCCACGAAAAGCUGAACUGUCACUGCAAUCCCUUCCUGCAUAGGUUUGAAAUAGAGUUGGAGAGAAAUUCUAGAGAAAUUUCUUUCUGAAAUAGAUUUGUAGAGGAAUUUUAAAAUUUGAUU